rnacentral:rRNA from 1 species
CGACGUAGGUAACCUGCCUAUUAGCGGGGGAUAACUAUUGGAAACGAUAGCUAAUACCGCAUAAUAUUAAUUAUUGCAUGAUAAUUGAUUGAAAGGUGCAAAUGCAUCACUACCAGAUGGACCUGCGUUGUAUUAGCUAGUUGGUGGGGUAACGGCUCACCAAGGCGACGAUACAUAGCCGACCUGAGAGGGUGAUCGGCCACACUGGGACUGAGACACGGCCCAG